rnacentral:rRNA from 1 species
UGGGGAAUAUUGCACAAUGGGCGCAAGCCUGAUGCAGCCAUGCCGCGUGUGUGAAGAAGGCCUUCGGGUUGUAAAGUACUUUCAGCGAGGAGGAAGGUGGUGAGCUUAAUACGCUCAUCAAUUGACGUUACUCGCAGAAGAAGCACCGGCUAACUCCGUGCCAGCAGCCGCGGUAAUACGGAGGGUGCAAGCGUUAAUCGGAAUUACUGGGCGUAAGGCGCACGCAGGCGGUUUGUUAAGUCAGAUGUGAAAUCCCCGGGCUCAACCUGGGAACUGCAUUUGAAACUGGCAAGCUAGAGUCUCGUAGAGGGGGGUAGAAUUCCAGGUGUAGCGGUGAAAUGCGUAGAGAUCUGGAGGAAUACCGGUGGCGAAGGCGGCCCCCUGGACGAAGACUGACGCUCAGGUGCGAAAGCGUGGGGCAGCAAACAGGAUUAGAUACCCUGGUAGUCCACGCUGU